GACGUAGGUGGCGAACGUUAUCCGGAAUUAUUGGGCGUAAAGGGUGCGUAGGUGGCUUGAAAGUUAUCAGUGGCAAAUCGAGGCUUAACCUCGCGGAAACUGGUAAUACUGUUUGGCUCGAGUGCAGGAGAGGUUAACGGAACUCUAUGUGGAGCGGUAAAAUGCACAGAUAUAUAGAAGAACACCAAUAACGGCGAAGGCAGUUAACUAUUCUGUUACUGACACUGAGGCACGAAAGCGUGGGGAGCAAAACGG
rnacentral:rRNA from 1 species